GAUCCUGGCUCGAGGAUGAACGCUGGCGGCGUGCCUAAUACAUGCAAGUCGAACGAGGCGAGAUCCAGACUUGCUGGAUUAGCGAGUGGCGAACGGGUGAGUAAUACGUAAGCAACCUGCCUACACGGACUGGGAUAACACCUGGAAACGGGCGCUAAUACCGGAUAGGUAAUAAGAAGGCAUCUUCUUAUUAUUAAAGGUUUGAAACACAAGUAGAUGGGCUUACGGUGCAUUAGCUAGUUGGUGAGGUAACGGCCCACCAAGGCGAUGAUGCAUAGCCGGCCUGAGAGGGUGAACGGCCACAUUGGGACUGAGACACGGCCCAGACUCCUACGGGAGGCAGCAGUAGGGAAUUUUCGGCAAUGGGCGCAAGCCUGACCGAGCAACGCCGCGUGAGUGAUGAAGGUUUUCGGAUCGUAAAGCUCUGUUGUAAGGGAAGAAUGGCGCGGAUAGACUCCGCGAUUGACGGUACCUUACCAGAAAGCCACGGCUAACUACGUG
rnacentral:rRNA from 1 species